ACCGGGUCAAACCGAACCGAAAAAAACCGAACCGAAAAAUAUGUGGUUAAAACGGUUUGAUUUGGUUUAGAAUUUAUAAAAGUUACGGUUUUCGGUUUUGGUUUGGUUUUAAGGUUCGGUCACCGAACCGAACCGAAAAAACCGAAGCUAUACGACGUAGUUUUAUUUAUGUAUACAUUGGUACUAUAAAUAGUCACUCUAAAGAAAAAAACCCUAAUUUUCUAACCUAAUCUAUCCGCAGCCUUUUUCCCCUCUCCUCAUCUCAGCCUUCUCUCUUCUCUCCUCACCUCAUCCUCUCUUUUCUUCUCUCAAUUCUCUCAUUUCAACAUUUCUUUCUCUCAUCUCAACAGAUCUUAGCCGUUGUUCUUACCGUGUAAAAUUUCUUCUGUCUCAUCUUUCUCUUCAUCUUUCUUUUAAUGGAUUCUCGGUAUUUUUCGCAAAAUUUUAACCAACGGAAGUAAUAAAUGAACUUUAAUAGGAUAAAUCAGUCUGGAUGCUUGGAGCAUGGACAAAGUUGAUUUAAUGUCUUCUGUUUAAAUUUAUUGUUGAAUCCUGUAUGAAUCGAAGUGAAAAUUAAUUAAGUUAAUUUUGUUUGUUAAUUAAUUUCAGAUCUAAUGAAUAAAAUAUAAAAAGAAUAUAUCAAAAUAUCAAUAUAUGUAAUUAUAUAAA